rnacentral:hammerhead_ribozyme from 15 species
AAUUGGUCAGGAGCUGAUGCCGUUCUCCUGACGAGGCCAUGACAGGCCGAAAUCAGUU